GCGAGUUAUUUAACCUCUCCAUGCAGAGUUGAACCUAGGGCUAGACAUCAGUUCCUAUUGACGAGGAAUCUGGGUUUGCAUGAGCUCCAUUCAACACACGUGGAUUAAUUUCUUCACUUGGACUGAGGAAUCUCUGGGGGCUCAGAGAAGUCAAACAGCUUUCCCAAAGGCACCAGCCGGUCUCAUCCUUUGCCCUGACCUUCCAGAGGACUUGAACACUGCAGCCCGAGGCAGAGCCACAGGACCAGUUUCAUCAGGAGCUGUCUCUGCAGCCAGCACAGGCUGCAGCCGUCCUCAGGAAGAAAAUGGUGACCUUGGACCAGGCUAGGGGGGUGGACGCAUAGACUCAGCCACAGACAGAGGAACUUGGAGUCCAGAAGCAGCUGUGAGGGGACCCAAGGCCACCUUGGAAACAAUCAGCGUUGUGCUUCGAAGCAGUCACCGGAAGAGGCUGCAGAGCCGUUUUCACAACUGUCAGCUGAACAUAGUCCUGUACCCUCUCUGGCAGCCUCACAUAGAGUUUUCAAGCCGCCAAAGAGAGUGAGUCUCGUUACUUAGCAGAACUCAUCUUGUUUUUUCCCCCAGAAGCACU